GCGACGACGGGUAGCCGGCCUGAGAGGGCGACCGGCCACACUGGGACUGAGACACGGCCCAGACUCCUACGGGAGGCAGCAGUGGGGAAUAUUGCACAAUGGGCGAAAGCCUGAUGCAGCGACGCCGCGUGAGGGAUGACGGCCUUCGGGUUGUAAACCUCUUUCAGCAGGGAAGAAGCGAAAGUGACGGUACCUGCAGAAGAAGCGCCGGCUAACUACGUGCCAGCAGCCGCGGUAAUACGUAGGGCGCAAGCGUUGUCCGGAAUUAUUGGGCGUAAAGAGCUCGUAGGCGGCUUGUCGCGUCGAUUGUGAAAGCCCGGGGCUUAACUCCGGGUCUGCAGUCGAUACGGGCAGGCUAGAGUGUGGUAGGGGAGAUCGGAAUUCCUGGUGUAGCGGUGAAAUGCGCAGAUAUCAGGAGGAACACCGGUGGCGAAGGCGGAUCUCUGGGCCAUUACUGACGCUGAGGAGCGAAAGCGUGGGGAGCGAACAGGAUUAGAUACCCUGGUAGUCCACGCCGUAAACGGUGGGCACUAGGUGUUGGCGACAUUCCACGUCGUCGGUGCCGCAGCUAACGCAUUAAGUGCCCCGCC
rnacentral:rRNA from 1 species